rnacentral:rRNA from 1 species
AUUGAACCCUGGCGGCAUGCUUUACACAUGCACGUCGAACGAGUGGCGCACGGGUGAGUAAUACAUCGGAACGUGUCCUCUCGUGGGGGAUAACUGAUCGAAAGAUCAGCUAAUACCGCAUAAGAUUGGAGCGGCCGAUGCCCGAUUAGCUAGUUGGUGAGGUAAAGGUUCACCAAGGCGACGAUCGGUAGCUGGUCUGAGAGGCCGACCAGCCACACUGUGACUGAGACACGGCCCAGACUCCUACGGGAGUCAGACGGUGGGAAUUUUGGACUAUGGGGGCAACCCUGAUCCAGCCAUGCCGCGUGCAGGAUGAAGGUCUUCGGGUUGUAAACUGCUUUUGUCAGGGAAGCGGUACCUGAAGAAUAAGCACCGGCUAACUACGUGCCAGCAGCCGCGGUAAUAC